UCUCCUGUAGCUCAGUGGUAGAUCAGAGCGUCCGACCGGUGCGCGGAAGGUCAUAGGUUCUACGUUUGUUGGGAGAA